rnacentral:rRNA from 1 species
GAUGAACGCUGGCGGCGUGCCUAAUACAUGCAAGUCGAGCGAACAGACGAGGAGCUUGCUCCUCUGACGUUAGCGGCGGACGGGUGAGUAACACGUGGAUAACCUACCUAUAAGACUGGGAUAACUUCGGGAAACCGGAGCUAAUACCGGAUAAUAUAUUGAACCGCAUGGUUCAAUAGUGAAAGACGGUUUUGCUGUCACUUAUAGAUGGAUCCGCGCCGCAUUAGCUAGUUGGUAAGGUAACGGCUUACCAAGGCGACGAUGCGUAGCCGACCUGAGAGGGGGAGCGGCACAACGGGAAAGGAAACCGGGCCAAGACACCGCGGGGAGGAAGAAGAGGGGAAUUUGCGGAAAGGGGAGAAAGCCGGAGGGAGAAACGCCGCGGGAGGGAGGAGGGUUUUGGGAUGGAAAAACUUUUUUAUGAGGGAAAAAAAAAUGGGAAAGAAAAAAGGCACGGCUGGAGGGAACAUAAUAAAAAAGCAACGGAAAAAUAGGGG